rnacentral:misc_RNA from 1 species
UGUGAAGAUGGUGCUGAUGAGGUGUCAAGUCACCACUGGUAGAGUCAACUUCGAUAAUCAUGUUAUCUCUGGUGGUGGUGGGCAGUACUUCUUCUUUAUAGAAAUCGAUGGGUCUAGGCUUUUCCGAUAAGUACAUUGCUGAAGAAGAUGAGAUGUUUUGGGGGAUAAUUGGCAGUUUUAGAAAGAGAUGGGGUUGAAGAAAGUAAGGGAUUGCAUGAGAAGAGAAUGAAAAAAAAUUGGGUAGAAUUUUGUUUGAUACUCUUUUUCACCUUGGUAAGUAUGGGUGUCUAGUGCAGAGAGACGCGUGAACUAAAAGCUUUGUGGAUGAUUAACAGAGAAAGAGAGGAUGAGCUGAGGUAGACUUCUCUCCGCUCAGCUUGGCUUCUUU